rnacentral:tRNA from 1 species
GGCCUAUUAGCUCAGUUGGUUAGAGCAUUGUGCUAAUAACGUGAAGGUUGCAGGUUUAAAACAUGCAUUGGCUA